UACGUAGGGGGCGAGCGUUGUCCGGAUUUAUUGGGCGUAAAGGGCUCGUAGGCGGCCAACUAAGUCAGACGUGAAAUCCCUCGGCUUAACCGGGGAACUGCGUCUGAUACUGGAUGGCUUGAAUCCGGGAGAGGGAUGCGGAAUUCCAGGUGUAGCGGUGAAAUGCGUAGAUAUCUGGAGGAACACCGGUGGCGAAGGCGGCAUCCUGGACCGGCAUUGACGCUGAGGAGCGAAAGCCAGGGGAGCAAACGGG
rnacentral:rRNA from 1 species